GUACACUCCUACGGGAGGCAGCAGUGGGGAAUUUUGGACAAUGGGCGAAAGCCUGAUCCAGCAAUGCCGCGUGAGUGAAGAAGGCCUUCGGGUUGUAAAGCUCUUUUGUCAGGGAAGAAACGGUGAGAGCUAAUAUCUCUUGCUAAUGACGGUACCUGAAGAAUAAGCACCGGCUAACUACGUGCCAGCAGCCGCGGUAAUACGUAGGGUGCAAGCGUUAAUCGGAAUUACUGGGCGUAAAGCGUGCGCAGGCGGUUUUGUAAGUCUGAUGUGAAAUCCCCGGGCUCAACCUGGGAAUUGCAUUGGAGACUGCAAGGCUAGAAUCUGGCAGAGGGGGGUAGAAUUCCACGUGUAGCAGUGAAAUGCGUAGAUAUGUGGAGGAACACCGAUGGCGAAGGCAGCCCCCUGGGUCAAGAUUGACGCUCAUGCACGAAAGCGUGGGGAGCAAACAGGAUUAGAAACCCCGGUAGUCCCAUGAU
rnacentral:rRNA from 1 species